rnacentral:rRNA from 1 species
CCUACGUGAGGCAGCAGUGGGGAAUAUUGCACAAUGGGGGAAACCCUGAUGCAGCGACGCCGCGUGAGUGAAGAAGUAUUUCGGUAUGUAAAGCUCUAUCAGCAGGGAAGAAAAUGACGGUACCUGAUUAAGAAGCCCCGGCUAACUACGUGCCAGCAGCCGCGGUAAUACGUAGGGGGCAAGCGUUAUCCGGAUUUACUGGGUGUAAAGGGAGAGUAGACGGCAGCACAAGUCUGGAGGGAAAUGCCGAGGCUUAACCCCGGAACUGCUUUGGAAACUGUGCAGCUAGAGUGCAGGAGAGGUAAGUGGAAUUCCUAGUGUAGCGGUGAAAUGCGUAGAUAUUAGGAGGAACACCAGUGGCGAAGGCGGCUUACUGGACUGUAACUGACGUUGAGGCUCGAAAGCGUGGGGAGCAAACAGGAGUAGAUACCCUGGUAGGC